UACGUAGGGUGCAAGCGUUGUCCGGAAUUAUUGGGCGUAAAGAGCUCGUAGGCGGUUUGUCGCGUCUGCUGUGAAAACUCGGGGCUCAACCCCGAACUUGCAGUGGGUACGGGCAGACUAGAGUGUGGUAGGGGAGACUGGAAUUCCUGGUGUAGCGGUGAAAUGCGCAGAUAUCAGGAGGAACACCGAUGGCGAAGGCAGGUCUCUGGGCCACUACUGACGCUGAGAAGCGAAAGCAUGGGGAGCGAACAGG
rnacentral:rRNA from 1 species